UCCCAAAACUCAGGUUCUGCCUUGGUAGGU
rnacentral:piRNA from 1 species